rnacentral:rRNA from 1 species
GACGAACGCUGGCGGCGUGCUUAACACAUGCAAGUCGAACGGUAAGGCCCUUCGGGGUACACGAGUGGCGAACGGGUGAGUAACACGUGGGUGAUUUGCCCUGCACUUCGGGAUAAGCCUGGGAAACUGGGUCGAAUACCGGAUAGGACCACUUCCUGCAUGGGUGGGGUUGGAAAGCUUUUGCGGUGUGGGGUGGGCCCGCGGCCUAUCAGCUUGUUGGUGGGGUGAUGGCCUGCCAAGGCCACGCCGGGUAGCCGGCCUGGGAGGGUGACCGGCCACACUGGGACUGAGAUACGGCCCAGACUCCUACGGGAGGCAGCAGUGGGGAAUAUUGCACAAUGGGCGCAAGCCUGAUGCAGCGACGCCGCGUGAGGGAUGACGGCCUUCGAGUUGUAAACCUCUUUCAGCACCGACGAAGCGCAAGUGACGGUAGGUGCAGAAGAAGGACCGGCCAACUACGUGCCAGCCGCCGCGGUAA